UACGUAGGGCGCAAGCGUUGUCCGGAAUUAUUGGGCGUAAAGAGCUCGUAGGCGGCUUGUCACGUCGGAUGUGAAAGCCCGAGGCUUAACCUCGGGUCUGCAUUCGAUACUGGCUAGCUAGAGUGUGGUAGGGGAGAUCGGAAUUCCUGGUGUAGCGGUGAAAUGCGCAGAUAUCAGGAGGAACACCGGUGGCGAAGGCGGAUCUCUGGGCCAUUACUGACGCUGAGGAGCGAAAGCGUGGGGAGCGAACAGG
rnacentral:rRNA from 1 species